GGGCUUGCAGCAACAUUGGAUCCCGUAUACUGGAAGUAAAUGGUGAAAUUUUCAGCCUGCAAACAUGAGAAUGUGAUGUGCUCCUUGUAACGAAAAAUAACGACAUUUUCAUGAUAUUCAACAGUUCACCGUCCUUCAUGAUAAUCAGGAUUUCAAGAUGUGUCCUACUGCUUGUGACGAGGACACAUAAACCACCGGCUGACCAUCAAGUCGGCUCUGCAUUCCUCAUGCCCUACUAUGCUCAUUGCUAUUAAUAGUGCUUUCGUUAUAGUAAGUUACCCUUAUUAAUUAAUUAAUUAUCCCCGUUAAUUAACUCAUUGAUACAUAAAGUGUAUAGAUUCCCUUUAAUUUAUUAUCGGUUU
rnacentral:lncRNA from 1 species